rnacentral:rRNA from 1 species
GAUGAACGCUGGCGGCGUGCCUAAUACAUGCAAGUCGAGCGAACAGACGAGGAGCUUGCUCCUCUGACGUUAGCGGCGGACGGGUGAGUAACACGUGGAUAACCUACCUAUAAGACUGGGAUAACUUCGGGAAACCGGAGCUAAUACCGGAUAAUAUAUUGAACCGCAUGGUUCAAUAGUGAAAGACGGUUUUGCUGUCACUUAUAGAUGGAUCCGCGCCGCAUUAGCUAGUUGGUAAGGUAACGGCUUACCAAGGCAACGUUGCGUAGCCGACCUGAGAGGGUGAUCGGCCACACUGGAACUGAGACACGGUCCAGACUCCUACGGGAGGCAGCAGUAGGGAAUCUUCCGCAAUGGGCGAAAGCCUGACGGAGCAACGCCGCGUGAGUGAUGAAGGUCUUCGGAUCGUAAAACUCUGUUAUUAGGGAAGAACAAAUGUGUAAGUAACUAUGCACGUCUUGACGGUACCUAAUCAGAAAGCCACGGCUAACUACGUG